GCUCAGAACGAACGCUGGGGGCAGGCUUAACACAUGCAAGUCGAACGCCCCGCAAGGGGAGUGGCAGACGGGUGAGUAACGCGUGGGAAUCUACCGUCCCAUACGGAAUAACGCAUGGAAACGUGUGCUAAUACCGUAUACGCCCUUAGGGGGAAAGAUUUAUCGGGGUAUGAUGAGCCCGCGUUGGAUUAGUUAGUUGGUGGGGUAAAGGCCUACCAAGGGGACGAUCCAUAGCUGGUCUGAGAGGAUGAUCAGCCACAUUGGGACUGAGACACGGCCCAAACUCUUACGGGAGGCAGCAGUGGGGAAUAUUGGCCAAUGGGCGCAAGCCUGAUCCAGCCAUGCCGCGUGAGUGAUGAAGGUNUUAGGAUUGUAAAGCUCUUCACCGAUGAAGAUAA
rnacentral:rRNA from 1 species